UUUUGAGUAUUAGUGUUUUAGUGAAAUAUCACGGUCAUUUUCAUAGUUUCAAUGUUCAGUAGUUUUUCUAAUGAGGGGCUCUCUUCGCGGUGUACUGACGCGCCCAUUAAGCCCCUGUAGACGUCAUUAGCACAACCCGUUUUCCUAACGGUUGGUUGCGACAUCACCCUAGAAACUUCACUUGAACUAGAGCGGAGCUAGGUAUUUGUCUUGUUCAGAUUUCGAUUUAGUGUCCAGUCUUUACGGGGCUCAAGUUGAUCAAACGGCUGACCAUACAACGAUGUGGAUGGAGAGACGGUGGAUUGUGGCCUGACAGAAGCCAUGGUUGGAUACCUCUUCGAUGGUUCGUUCAAAAAGCAACUUAAAUUUCAACAGUUUGUGCGACAGUACAAGGAAGGUGAGGUCGUUGUUACACUAGAACCAGUACCGGUGGAAGUCUACUGUCAGUCUACAGCACAGCCCCAGCCUCUGCCUUCCAUUGAUCCAAGUGGAGAAGCAACUCGCAAGAAAAUACCUCUUGUGACUGUCAUUCCAACCUUUCCAAAAGAUGUCCAAAUUAAACUGGAUGCUAAAGAACCAUGUCACAAAGUUCCAAAACUACGCAACAAAAUUAUCAGAGUGUUGUACGAAAUGAUGGCAGAACACAC